ensembl:misc_RNA 7SK 7SK RNA
AGAUGCUAGGGCUAUCUGGCUGUGACAUCUGUCACCCCAUUGAUUGCCACGGUUGGUUUGCCUAUCUGGCUGGCUAGGUGAGUGUCCCCUCCCUCCCUCAUUGCUUCAUGUGCAUCCCUCCCAAAGCUGUGUGUUUGGUCCAAGAGGACAGGACAGCCUUCGCCGAAUAGAGAUGGACCCGUGUUCGGUCGAGGGUGUACUAGUAGUUGCGCUCCCCUGCUAGAACCUCCAAACAGUAAGAGAGUCUUCACUCACCUUGACAAAGGAGAGAAGACUUAGAUGCGAGAAAGCUGUGUGCCUCAAUAUAAGAACAGU